rnacentral:ncRNA from 1 species
CUACGGACUUGAUUGUAUUGAGCCUUGGUAUGGAAACCUGCUAAGUGGCAACUUCCAAAUUCAGAGAAACCCUGGAAUUAAAAAGGGGUAAUCCUGAGCCAAAUCCAUGUUUUGAGAAAACAAGCGGUUCUCGAACUAGAACCCAAAGGAAAAGGAUAGGUGCAGAGACUCAAUGGAAGCUGUUCUAACGAAUCGAGUCCUCUUCCCUCUCUCUCUCCUCUUUUUGAUCUCUCUCGUCGGCCACCGGUGGAAGGAGGACGCGG